rnacentral:rRNA from 1 species
ACUCAAAUGAAUUGACGGGGACCUGCACAAGCGGUGGAGCGUGUGGUUUAAUUCGAAACUAAGCGAAGAACCUUACCAAGGCUUGACAUCUCUGGAAAGUUCUGGAAACAGAACCGUGCCGCAAGGAACCAGAUGACAGGUGUUGCACGGUUGUCGUCAGCUCGUGCUGUGAAGUGUCCCGUUCAGUCGGUUAACGAGCGCAACCCCUACCUUGUGUUGCUUUUUCACAAGGAACUGCCUGGGUCAACCAGGAGGAAGGUGGGGACGACGUCAAAUCAGCGUGGCCCUUACGCCUUGGGCGACACACGCGCUACAAUGGGGAGUAACAAUGGGUUGCCAAGCCGUGAGGCGGAGCUAAUCCCACCAAACCUCCCCCCAGUUCGGAUUGAGGGCUGAAACUCGCCCCCAUGAAGUCGGAAUCGCUAGUAACGGCCGGUCAGCCAUACGGCCGUGAAUACGUUCUCAGGUCUUGUACACACCGCCCGU